rnacentral:rRNA from 1 species
UACGAAGGGAGCUAGCGUUGCUCGGAAUUACUGGGCGUAAAGGGCGCGUAGGCGGAUGUUUAAGUCAGAGGUGAAAGCCCAGGGCUCAACCCUGGAAUUGCCUUUGAUACUGGGCAUCUUGAGUGUGGGAGAGGUGAGUGGAACUCCGAGUGUAGAGGUGAAAUUCGUAGAUAUUCGGAAGAACACCAGUGGCGAAGGCGACUUACUGGACACAUAUUGACGCUGAGGUGCGAAAGCGUGGGGAGCAAACAGG